AGUUCGAUUAUGGCUCAGAUUGAACGCUGGCGGGAUGCUUUACACAUGCAAGUCGAACGGCAGCACGGACUUCGGUCUGGUGGCGAGUGGCGAACGGGGUGAGUAAUGUAUCGGAACGUGCCUAGUAGCGGGGGAUAACUACGCGAAAGCGUAGCUAAUACCGCAUACGCCCUUCGGGGAAAGCGGGGACCUCGCCCGCACCAUUAGAGCGGCCGAUAUCGGAUUAGCUAGUUGGUGGGGUACCCGGCUCACCAAGGCGACGAUCCGUAGCUGGUUUGAGAGGACGACCAGCCACACUGGGACUGAGACACGGCCCAGACUCCUACGGGAGGCAGCAGUGGGGAAUUUUGGACAAUGGGGAAACCCUGAUCCAGCCAUCCCGCGUGUGCGAUGAAGGCCUUCGCUGUAAAGCACUUUUGGCAGGAAAGAAACGGCACGGGAUAAUACCCCGUGCAACUGACGGUACCUGCAGAAUAAGCAACGGCUAACCACGUGCCAGCAGCCGCGGUAAUACGUAGGGUGCAAGCGUUAAUCGGAAUUACUGGCGGUAAAGCGUGCGCAGGCGGUUCGGAAAGAAAGAUGUAACCAGAGCUUAACUUUGGAACUGCAUUUUUAACUACCGAGCUAGAGUGUGUCAGAGGGAGGUAAUUCCGCGUGUAGCAGUGAAAUGCGUAGAUAUGCGGAGGAACACCGGAUGGCGAAGGCAGCCUCCUGGGAUAACACUGACGCUCAUGCACGAAAGCGUGGGGAGCAAAACAGGAUUAGAUACCCUGGUAGCCCACGCCCUAAACGAUGUCAACUAGCUGUUGGGGCCUUCGGGCCUUGGUAGCGCAGCUAACGUGCGUGAAGUUGACCGCCUGGGGAGUACGGUCGCAAGAUUAAAACUCAAAGGAAUUGACGGGACCCGCACAAGCGGUGGAUGAUGUGGAUUAAUUCGAUGCAACGCGAAAAACCUUACCUACCCUUGACAUGUCUGGAAUCCCGAAGAGAUUUGGGAGUGCUCGCAAGAGAACCGAACACAGGUGCUGCAUGGCUGUCGUCAGCUCGUGUCGUGAGAUGCUGGGGUUGUCCCGCAACGAGCGCAAACCUUGUCAUUAGUUGCUACGAAAGGGCACUCUAAUGAGACUGCCGGUGACAAACCGGAGGAAGGUGGGGGAUGACGUCAAGUCCUCAUGGCUCCUUAUGGGUAGGGCUUCACACGUCAUACAAUGGUCGGGACAGUGGGUCGCCAACCCGCGAGGGGGAGCCAAUCCCAGAAACCCGAUCGUAGUCCGGAUCGCAGUCUGCAACUCGACUGCGUGAAGUCGGAAUCGCUAGUAAUCGCGGAUCAGCAUGUCGCGGUGAAUACGUUCCCGGGUCUUGUACACACCGCCCGUCACACCAUGGGAGUGGGUUUUACCAGAAGUAGUUAGCCUAACCGUAAGGAGGGCGAUUACCACGGUAGGAUUCAUGACUGGGGUGAAGUCAACAAGGUAG
rnacentral:rRNA from 1 species